rnacentral:misc_RNA from 1 species
CUCAUUAGUUAUAUGUGAUUUCUGGGCAGGGCUCAAGCUUAACAGCUAAAUCGUAUAGAGGAAUUUGUAAUGAACAAACUCCAGUUGUAGUCACACUGAAGACAAGGAUGAAUUCGCAGCUCGAAGAGAACACAUCGCGAUUAAGUUUUUGAAUUGGGAGCCUUUUUUUUACUUUAAGCUAAAAUAAUAGUUUGUUUGACUAUGUUGGACACCAUGUUGUUGCUGGCGAUGUACCGAAACUGUAUGAAUUUAGCUUUCCUCAGAGAGUUCAAAAUAAAAAAACCCAAUUUACAAAUUUUGAUUUAUGCCACGG